rnacentral:tRNA from 1 species
GGGCCUGUAGCUCAGUUAGGUAGAGCAUCUGGCUUUUAACCAGGUGGCCAGGGGUUCGAAUCCCCUCAGGCCCG